AUUCCAUGAUGCGGGCAGUUCUUGAUCAUCAUAUUAAAGCGCUCGAAGGCUUCAUGAAACAUUUCGCCUUGUUUUUGUUGAAAAAUCCUCAAUCCCUUUCUUACAUC
rfam:Helianthus annuus linkage group 1, whole genome shotgun sequence.